GAAAGCGAUGCUAAUACCGAAUAACAUCUCAAUAACUCCGGUCUUUGAGAUCAAAGAUGGCCUCUCCAUGGAAGCUACUGUUUGGAGAUGAGCCCGCGUACCAUUAGCUUGUUGGUAGGGUAAUGGCCUACCAAGGCGACGAUGGUUAGCUGGUCUGAGAGGAUGAUCAGCCACACUGGAACUGACACACGGUCCAGACUCCUACGGGAGGCAGCAGUGAGGAAUUUUGCGCAAUGGGGGAAACCCUGACGCAGCAACGCCGCGUGAGUGAUGAAGGCUUUCGGGUCGUAAAGCUCUGUCAAGUGAGGAGAACCUGUCCUUUGCUAAUAUCACUGGACACUGACGGUAUCACUGAAGGAAGCACCGGCUAACUCCGUGCCAGCAGCCGCGGUAAUACGGAGGGUGCAAGCGUUAUUCGGAAUCACUGGGCGUAAAGAGCGCGUAGGCGGUUUCUAAAGUCAGAUGUGAAAGCCCGGGGCUCAACCCCGGAAGUGCAUUUGAAACUUAGGGACUUGAGUAUGG
rnacentral:rRNA from 1 species